rnacentral:rRNA from 1 species
AUGGCGUGGGAGGAAGAUGGCUUGGAAGAGGAGCACGAGGAGGAUAUGGAAGCGUCGGAGGAGGAAGGGGAGGAUGUGGUGGUGGGGCAGAUGCCAACGUUCAUGGUCCCAAAGCACAUCAAUAAGCGCGCCCUGAAGAACAAGGCCCUCUCCGUCUCCCUCGACAAGAAAGCCCUCAAGGAUUUCGUGACUGGGUUUCACAAGAGAAAGAAGAAGAGGAGAAAGGAGGCGCAGAGAAUUACGCAGGAGAAGGACAGACGGAAGCGAAUCGAGGCACGCAAGAUGAGAAAGCAAGAGAAAGAGAUUGCUCUAUACGGUAAAGUCGUGUCAUCAGAAAAUGUGGAUGGUGAAGACGGUGAUGGUGAUGGUGACGGGAUGGAUGCAGCUGCGCCUGAAAUCAAGACGUAUGAAGAUGGCGGGACUAGAAUAACAGUAGUCACCUGUGAAAUUACUCAUGGAGAGGAGGAUGACCAGAAAUCCGUGUCAAGGAGCUAUGCUAAGAAGAGUUGCGGUGUGGUUAGUGCCAAGAAGCAGCCCAGUUUAGGCGUGAAGAAGCCGCCACCAAAGAGGCAAUUCAGCAAAAGCAAGAAGACUAAAAAGGUUGACACGAGUAGACGGAAGAACAAAGGAAAGCAUUGA